rnacentral:rRNA from 1 species
CAGUAGGGAAUCUUCCACAAUGGGCGCAAGCCUGAUGGAGCAACACCGCGUGAGUGAAGAAGGGUUUCGGCUCGUAAAGCUCUGUUGUUAAAGAAGAACACGAGUGAGAGUAACUGUUCAUUCGAUGACGGUAUCUAACCAGCAAGUCACGGCUAACUACGCGCCAG